rnacentral:sRNA from 1 species
AUCUCCCCGUCUCUGGGUGGCUCCCUCCCGCCCGCCUCCCACGCCUCUGGCACAGAAAUGGCGCCGCUUCGGCGCCUCACUGUAUGGAGGGUCGGACUGCGCCUUGGCCCGGCUGGAGCUGCAGGAGGGCCCGGAGAAGCCUCGUCGGUGUGAGGCUGCCCGGAAGGUCAUCCGCCUCAGUGACUGCCUGCGGGUGGCCGAGGCCGGCGGAGAGGCCAGCAGCCCCCGGGACACCAGUGCCUUCUUCCUGGAGACCAAGGAGCGCCUGUACCUGCUGGCGGCCCCUGCAGCGGAGCGCGGCGACUGGGUGCAGGCCAUCUGCCUCCUGGCCUUCCCCUUGGCCCCCACAAGGAAUUUGCUGUGACCAUGAGACCUACAGAAGCCAGCGAGAGGUGCCACCUGCGGGGGUCCUAUACCCUCCGGGCUGGGGAGAGUGCCCUGGAGCUGUGGGGUGGGCCCGAGCCAGGGACCCAGCUGUACGACUGGCCCUACAGGUUUCUGCGGCGCUUUGGGCGGGACAAGGUAACCUUUUCCUUUGAGGCAGGCCGUCGCUGCAUCUCUGGAGAGGGCAACUUUGAGUUUGAAACCCGGCAAGGCAAUGAGAUCUUCUUGGCCCUGGAAGAGGCCAUCUCUGCCCAGAAGAAUGCAGCACCCCCUACACCCCAACCCCAGCCAGCCACAAUCCCCACCUCGCUGCCCCGGCCUGAGAGCCCCUACUCCCGGCCCCAUGACUCACUGCCGCCUCCUUCACCCACCACACCGGUGCCUGUUCCACGGCCUCGGGGCCCGGAGGGGGAGUAUGCCGUGCCCUUCGAUGCGGUGGCCCGUUCCUUGGGGAAGAACUUCAGGGGCAUCUUGGCAGUUCCUCCUCAGCUCCUGGCCGACCCUCUGUACGACAGCAUUGAGGAGACCCUGCCCCCUCGACCUGACCACAUAUACGAUGAGCCCGAGGGAGUGGCUGCCCUGUCCCUCUAUGACAGCCCGCAGGAG